rnacentral:lncRNA from 1 species
CCUGGACCCCUGGGCUGGCCUGUCCACCGUCCCCCAGGGCUCUGGACAGGCCCCUUCUCAAGCUCUUACUCUUGGGAAGCCAGUGCUUCCACUCAAGUGCACCGCUGCUGCAGAGAUGCGGCUGCUCUGGGCUGGGCAGGGUUGGCCCUGUCUUCCUGGGGCUGCCAGCCACACCUGGCUCCAGGCUGUGCAGACACACCCUGCCCUGGUACAGAAUGAAAGGUGGGCAGGGGUCCAAGGUCCCCUUGAGGCUGCUGAUGCUCUCCGGCUUACUCAGAUCCCUCUUGGAGGACAGAUGACAGGCUUCUCUCAGCAGCUCUACCUCUGAGACUGCUGGCCCUGGCCGAGGACACGGCAAGCUGGGUAGGCAGGUGGGUGGGGUGGGGGUCCCUCUGAGCGAGACAGAGACAAAACCAGAACGGCUGGCUAGCUCAGUAAAUCAGCCCCCUGGCAAAACACCUCUCUGCCUCAGUUUCCUCAUCUGUGCCAUGAGGAUAAAGCUGGCUCCGCCCCCUACCAGCCACGUGACCUCAGGCAACUUCCCUAAGCCCCUGUGCCUUGGUGUCCCUGCCUCUAGACCGAGGUCAUAAUAGCAUGCACCAUGGGCUCCCAUGAGGAGGGCAGGAGCCAAUAUUCGUGGCAAGGACAGUGAGAGGUUUGGGUUCCUUGUUGCCCGAAGCGGAACAAAAAUUCUUCCAGCAAACACCGCCCAUGAUUCAUCAUCCGAGCCCCCGGGGGACUGGCCCCCAGGACCCCCUCCUUGGACACCUUCCCCAGGUGCCCUGGGGCCAGGCUUAUUGUCCAGGCAAAAGCAACCAGCCCCGAGAGGGAACAAGAGGUCUCCCCAUAGAAGAUGACGCUUUGUAAUGAGAAUCCGGCCAGCCCCACUCCGCACGUGUACCUAGCCGAAUGGCGUCCGUGGCUAAUUAUGUUUAAUUACAUAUCAUUUAAAUUCAAG